rnacentral:rRNA from 1 species
CAGUCGCCGCGGUAAUGCGGAGGGAGCUAGCGUUGUUCGGAAUCACUGGGCGUAAAGCGCACGUAGGCGGCUAUUCAAGUCAGGGGUGAAAGCCCGGGGCUCAACCCCGGAACUGCCUUUGAAACUAGAUAGCUUGAAUCUUGGAGAGGCGAGUGGAAUUCCGAGUGUAGAGGUGAAAUUCGUUGAGAUCGGAAAGAACACCAACGGCGAAAGCACUCUGCUGGGCCGACACUGACACUGAGAGACGAAAGCUAGGGGAGCAAAUGGGAUUAGAUACCCCAGUAGUCCCUGUCUCUUAUAA